rnacentral:rRNA from 1 species
UACGGAGGGUGCAAGCGUUAUCCGGAUUCACUGGGUUUAAAGGGUGCGUAGGCGGGCAGGUAAGUCAGUGGUGAAAUCUCCGAGCUUAACUCGGAAACUGCCGUUGAUACUAUUUGUCUUGAAUAUUGUGGAGGUAAGCGGAAUAUGUCAUGUAGCGGUGAAAUGCUUAGAUAUGACAUAGAACACCAAUUGCGAGGCAGCUUACUACACAACGAUUGACGCUGAGGCACGAAAGCGUGGGGAUCAAACAGG